rnacentral:sRNA from 1 species
AUUUAUUUUAUUAAUAUUAUUUGUUUUGUUUAGUAUUUAAGAUAAUAUAAUUGUAUUUGGAUUGUUAUAUGAUUUCACCCGUGGUAUACCAUAUCGUAUUACUAUCGACCCAAACCCGUCCUACCAUCUAAUCCCGUUCAGUGAAACUAAACAUAUAUAAUGGAUUUCACCCGUGGUAUACCGUCUCGUAUUACUGUCGACCCAAACCCGUCCUACCAUCUAACUCCGUUCAGUGAAAUUAAACAUUUUGUUUUUGUUAUUUUUGUUUUAAUAAGACUUU